rnacentral:rRNA from 1 species
GUGGGGAAUCUUGCGCAAUGGGCGAAAGCCUGACGCAGCCAUGCCGCGUGGAUGAUGAAGGUCUUAGGAUUGUAAAAUCCUUUCACCGGUGAAGAUAAUGACUGUAGCCGGAGAAGAAGCCCCGGCUAACUUCGUGCCAGCAGCCGCGGUAAUACGAAGGGGGCUAGCGUUGCUCGGAUUUACUGGGCGUAAAGGGCGCGUAGGCGGACAUUUAAGUCAGGGGUGAAAUCCCGGGGCUCAACCUCGGAACUGCCUUUGGUACUGGGUGUCUUGAGUAGGAGAGAGGUGUGUGGAACUCCGAGUGUAGAGGUGAAAUUCGUAGAUAUUCGGAAGAACACCAGUGGCGAAGGCGACACACUGGCUCAUUACUGACGCUGAGGCGCGAAAGCGUGGGGAGCAAACAGGAUUAGAAACCCGAGUAGUCC